rnacentral:rRNA from 1 species
UACGUAGGGACCAAGCGUUGUUCGGAUUUACUGGGCGUAAAGGGCGCGUAGGCGGCGUGACAAGUCACUUGUGAAAUCUCCGGGCUUAACUCGGAACGGCCAAGUGAAACUGUCAUGCUAGAGUGCAGAAGGGGCAAUCGGAAUUCCAGGUGUAGCGGUGAAAUGCGUAGAUAUCUGGAGGAAUACCGGUGGCGAAGGCGGCAUCCUGGACCGGCAUUGACGCUGAGGAGCGAAAGCCAGGGGAGCAAACGGG